UCGUUGAUGUCCUUCUCCAUCCAUGAUCUUGUGUCUUGGUGGCUUCUUUCCUCCCUGACAGGCAAAAGGAGUCCUCAAAUUCAUCGAAGCAAUUUCUGAGAAGACCCUGAGAAGCACUGUGGCUUUAACAGCAGCUAGAGGGCGUGGGAAGUCGGCUGCUUUGGGACUGGCAAUAGCGGGAGCAGUGGCUUUUGGCUAUUCCAACAUUUUUGUCACAUCUCCAAGUCCAGAUAAUCUUCACACCCUCUUUGAAUUUGUAUUUAAAGGCUUUGAUGCUCUACAGUACCAGGAACAUUUGGAUUAUGAGAUCAUUCAGUCUCUCAAUCCUGAAUUCAGCAAAGCAGUUGUGAGAGUCAAUGUGUUUCGAGAACAUAGACAGACAAUAC